GCAUGAGUUCCCAACAAAUAUUCCAGCAACUGCUAACAGGAUUGAUACUGCUUUCCACGUUCUGCAUAUCAUGAGAAAUUGGGAUGCAAAAUGCUUAGUCAAUCCAGUCUCUAGUGACUCUCGAGAUUUGCGGAAGGUCUUCCUUGCCAACCUCCUGUCAUUCACAAGUAAUGAGGCCAUACUCCCAGAAAGUGUCAACUACUACAUCAAAGCACUCAGGAGGAACUGAUACCACAUCCCGCAACGACGAAUAAUAAAUAGGCCGACUGAAUAGACAAAUUUUCAAUUUCAAUAUGUAGUGAAUUACGUACUACCUUUUUUGUUUUUGAGAAAACAUACUACAUUUGAUGGAAUAUUCUACCUUUU